rnacentral:lncRNA from 1 species
UACCAUGAAAAGCGGAUCAUUAUUCAUUUAAUUCUGUAUAACUGAGGUCCAGUGAAAGGGGAAAAGAUAUGCAAGGACUCGUCAUCGUGUGCACCUCUGGAUCCCACGUCUAGAGGGACACGAGGAAAUUAAAACACAUUCAGAAGACAUUGACCAGAUGAUGUGUGAGUCAUGAAACCAGGUUUUAAAAACUGCUGGAGGUUGGAGUCUGUCCUGUGUUUUCAUAAGUUGAAGCUAAUGGAUACAUCUCACAGCUAUCUGCACCUAGAUGUCUGCUCUGGCUCCUGUCAAUGCUGCAGUUGUCUAAGGAUCAGAGGAAUGAGGAUGGGCCCUGAAGCUAGAGGUAGAGAGAGACAGUGGCAGCACUCAGAUGAGCUGUGACACUUGUGGGCUUGGACCUCUGUAAAUCUGGAUGCUAACCCCUGUGUUUGCCACUCCCACCUCAGCAGUUACGAACCUAGAGAUCUUAUGGGAGAAGAAGAGAAAAAGUAACACUUUAUAUUUUCUUCAACUAUCCCUCUGAAAGAGAAUUUACUAAUGCAUUUGGGGCCACUUCAAAUGUUCUUUCCCUCAGGGGAAGAUUUAACAAGAUAGAGAAUUUCAUGCACCUGAAAUCUGGAAGGAAGGCUGUCUACAAAAGAUAGACUUCAGUGGGUGGACUGUUGGCCUCAAUCUUUAUUAAAAGGAAAAUGAGGCAGAAAAGAAACCCCCACAUAAAUCAGGAAACCAUCCUAAGCUGUAAAAGUUUUGCUCAAAUGUGAAAUAUUUAUAUCCUCUUAAAUUCACCCAUGUUGUUAAAAAGAUCCCUGGGAUACUAGAUUUCUAUUAAGAAUUUUACAUAUUCUAGUUAUGAAUGUCAAGUAGCUGACAAGUAGCAACGUAUGUAAUAUAUGAGAGAUUGAGAAAAUAUGUUUUUAAUAGUGUAAUUGAAAGAAUUUCUGCAUCAUGUUACUAUACUUUCCAGUCAUAAAAAUACAUAAUAAAAUGCAAACUGAAGGAACUUUGCUUUAAUUCAAAAGUUAUAUUACAAAGGUUUCUGCUAAAAAAUAAAAUGUUUCCCUCCAUAAUACCAUAGCAAUAU